AUUGAACGCUGGCGGCAUGCCUAACACAUGCAAGUCGAACGGCAGCACAGUGCGUAGCAAUACGUAUGGGUGGCGAGUGGCGGACGGGUGAGGAAUGCAUCGGAAUCUACCCAGUAGCGGGGGAUAACCUGGGGAAACUCAGGCUAAUACCGCAUACGACCUAUGGGUGAAAGCGGGGGACCGUAAGGCCUCGCACUAUUGGAUGAGCCGAUGCCGGAUUAGCUAGUUGGUAGGGUAACGGCCUACCAAGGCGACGAUCCGUAGCUGGUCUGAGAGGACGAUCAGCCACACCGGAACUGAGACACGGGUCCGGACUCCUACGGGAGGCAGCAGUGGGGAAUAUUGACAAUGGGGAAACCCUGAUCCAGCAAUGCCGCGUGUGUGAAGAAGGCCU
rnacentral:rRNA from 1 species